CACGUAGUUAGCCGUGGCUUAUUCAAGGGGUACCGUCUUCUGCUCUUCCCCCUUAAAGAAGUUACAACCCGAAAGCCUUCUUCCUUCACGCGGCGUUGCUGGGUCAGACUUGCGUCCAUUGCCCAAUAUUCCCCACUGCUGCCUCCCGUAGGAGUCUGGGCCGUAUCUCAGUCCCAAUGUGGCCGGUCAACCUCUCAGUCCGGCUACUGAUCGUCGCCUUGGUAGGCCGUUACCCUGCCAACUAGCUAAUCAGACGCGAGGCCAUCUUCCAGCGAUAAAUCUUUGACAUUCAAACCAUGCGAUUCAAAUGUGUCAUGCGGUAUUAGCAGUCGUUUCCAACUGUUGUCCCCCUCUGGAAGGCAGGUUCCUCACGCGUUACUCACCAGUCCGCCACUAAGCAUUCCUAUCCAUUGACCGAAAUCUCUUUCAAGGGUGCUCCGUUCGACUUGCAUGUGUUAAGCACGCCGCCAGCGUUCGUCCUGAGCCAGGAUCAAACUCU
rnacentral:rRNA from 1 species